rnacentral:rRNA from 1 species
GCCCGUCGCUCCUACCGAUUGGAUGACUCGGUGAAAUCACCGGAUGCUUACGAGCAGAAAGUGAUUAAAUCACGUUAUCUAGAGGAAGGAGAAGUCGUAACAAGGUAACGGUAGGUGAACCUGCCGUUGGAUCAGUUCUAGUUUUAAUAACUAACACCAACUUCUUUUAUUAAACAAAAACCAAUACAAAAUUAAAAACUAACUUCAUCAAAAACCAAGUCUCUAAGCAAUGGAUGUCUUGGCUCCUCACACGAUGAAGAACGUGGCAUAAUG